GGCGCCAGGGGAUCUCCUGCUGCAGCCUUAGCAGCGGCUGCAUCCGGGGUCCAGGAGGUGGCCGCGUGGGAGAGGCGGCCGCGGGCGGCGUCUUUCAACAUGAGUUUUGGUUGGCACAAACUACAUUCAAAUCGUAGCCCAUGUCCAGCAGAGAGACCAGCCUGUCCUGAACACCCUGAAGGAAGUGCCUGGGGCAUCCUAAUGAGUGUGAGGUGACAGACUCCCUCAGUCUACAGGGCAGAGAACAGAGAGCCGCCGAGAAGGGUCUGCGACUUUAAAUGCUAAAGCUCUGAGCAGGAAUAUUCUCGAGCGCUGCUUCUAGUCUCAUGAAGACCAGAGCUAACCACUGGGAAUGGACUGUGAACAUAAUGGAGAUGGAGAGUGCAGAUGACACACAUGGCCUCAGUCUAUGGGAGCAUCUCAGAGGAAUUAGUCUGCAAAUUCUAGUGCAUCUAGGCAGAGCACAGGAAGGAAGAGAGGUGCAGACUCACGUAUGGCCCUGGGGCACCUGCCAUCCCCUUGAGCCUGUACAGCCCUUACCUGCCCAGCCCCAGCUUGAGUUCUGGGCCUUCUCGCCAGCACAUCACUGGGACCUGGUCAACUUCAGGUAAGUUUAUUUCAUGGCUCCCUCCCCCCUCUGCAGCCUAUCCUGUUAUUCUCUGUUUCGGCCAAUUAUUUCUAACUAGAUGCUGAAGCCAAUUAAAGGCAGUUCAUGCCAUAUGUUCCUUUCCAGCCCCAUGUCACUUGAAAUGUUCUAUUAUGUCCAAGACUUC